rnacentral:lncRNA from 1 species
AACCGAACAGCGAAAAUUCCUUCCAAAAGUAGUAUAGUUGAUUUAUGUUAUCAAAAGUUUUUAAAUUUUCUUAAAACGUAUCGAAGCACUUUUUUAUUAAAACUUCUUCCCCAAAAUGAUCGUGAUAAGAAAGAAAAUGGAAGAUGCCAUUAAGUCAGCGUCGCACUACAUCUGCUCGGUUAUCAAACCUCCCCUAAUCAAAGGUGACCGGGAAUCCGAUCAGAUAACAUAUCUAGAGAGGCGUAUUUUGCCACGUUUGUAUCAAUCGACCUCGGCCUCGGUUCGUCGUACAAAUCCAAUUAGUUGUCGUUUUAUGCAUUUCUACUGAGUAAAGGCGAAAAGUCUUCGACUUCUGAUGCCGUAUAUGGCAGUUUGCCAGAUUUCUUAAUGUCAAUGUCUCGUCCCAUUUUGGAAAUUCGGUCAGAG